AGCUUUAUCUGGAGAAUCAUUCUUAUUGGAACCCUUCUGUGAGCUCAGGAUAUGGUCUUACUGCUGGAGAAAUGCAGCUGCUUUAUGCAGAGGGUCCUGUCACCAGGAACGUUUUUCGUAGAUCUCUAUGACUUAAGGAGAUGCUGAGAUAAAGUAUCUGAUCAUAUUGCAAAGACACAGGAAACUCAGUAUCAGAAAAAGGGAAAGAGUGGUUUAAAUUGCUUGAAGAUGUAAUUGCAGAGCCUCUCUAAUGAAACCUCUUCAAAGAAACCAUGGACAUUGGCUGCCAUCUGUCUUAAAGAAGGUUUCCACCCCUUUGACAAAACCAGGUGGUGCCAAUGUGUUUUUCCCAAUGCCCAGUAACGUGUUCAAAACUCGCUGAAAUUAUGGAACACUGGAUUUGUUUCUCAUCUGAUGAUUUUAGAAGCAAAAGAAAGAGGAUGCUCAGAAACAACUUCCAUGAUCGCCAGAACUUUUUCUUGAGAAAUCCCCAUGCUGCAUGAAGCACAUUGUAGGGACUCUGGGAGGAGGCACGGGAAGAGAAAUAGCCUUCUGAGGGAGUGAUAAUUAAUCUGACAGGCCAUUUGGUAUCCAGUGGUGAAAGCAAACUUCACCAAUUAAUCAGGCUGACAUUCAGAGGUCGUUUUCCAGCUAUUCAUACAUCUUUGCAUUUCUGGGCAUGAAGGUGAGAAAAUAGUGAUAAAGUUGAAUAUCAUGACUUCCUCCUUAGCACUGACCCACACUGAAACAUGCUGCUUAAAGACUGUCACUUGUUCUGACAGUAAUUUAAAUUGAAGAACAGACAGUAGGUGGUACUGCUUGUGUUGGUUCAUUCCUGCCUACACAGUCUGUUUUCUACUGGAGGAAGCUCUCAGAAGAUCAGCAUUUCAUCAGAAAACACAAUCAUAGUCAGGUAGUCAUGGCGCUCAGUGUCUAAGCAAUCGAAGCGAAUCAUGAAUAUCAAAGCCUGAAACAUCUACAUUAAAAUUUGGAAAAUUCAUGUGCUCAUUUUUGGUUAUAGAACUGUCACCUAGAGCAUAGAUCUGGACUAUAUGGAUUACUUUUUAUCAUUUAACCAUAAAUGAGUCAAGCUGGAGGGGACUUCAGGAAGUAACUGGUCCAACCUGCUACUCAAAGAAAGGGCAGUUCUGGAAUCAGACCCAGCUGCUAAGGGUGUGACCCAAUUGGAUCCCCAAAACCUCCAAGGAUGGAGAUGACAUAACUUUACCGUAUAAUCUUUUCUAAUCCUUUAUUAUACUCUCAGGGAAAAAUAUUUUUCCUAAUACCUAGUAGAAACCACACUUAUUCGACUUAUGACCAGUGUAUCUCACCUUGCCACACCAUACAGUACUGUGAAAAACCCUGUCUAUGUCUGUCUCUUUGCCUCAGACUGGCCAAAGCCUGCUCCUAAGACUUCUCCUUCCAGGGCAAGUGUUCCAGAUCUGGGAGUUUCAUUGACCUCAUUCCUGUUUUUUGAUGCUUUUUUCUCUACUGCAGACCUCAAAACUGGAUGCUGUAAUGCAAGCAUGGCCUGAUGAGUUCCAAGUAAAAGAUAAUAAGUUUUCUCCUUCUGUGCUACUGUGGGCACAACCCAGCUUGAUAUCAGAUUUAACCACUGCCACAGGGCACUGCUUGCUCAUUUUUACAAGUUGCUCACCAGUGCCUUUCCCACAUUGCUGCUGUAUGGCCAGGCAGACAGAUCACACCCAGGAGACUAGUCCUUCCCAGAACUGUGGGACUUCUCUUCUGUGGGUCUGCUGUCUUGCCAAAUUCUAUGUCAGUCAUCUUAUUCCAUAAAUAGUGAGCAACCCUUGAGCUCCUUGAGCUCUAAUCCUUGUAACAAGACUGCAUGUGACCUCCUCAACUCCUUCUAAAUAUUGUGACACUUGAGUGACUGUAAACUUGGGGUAGAUUGUGUGGAAUAGUUACUGGAUGUGACCUAUCAACAGUUCCACUUCUUGAAAGAAGUGGAAUACCUGCAGAGU
ensembl:lncRNA